AUACGUAGGGAGCGAGCGUUGUCCGGAUUUAUUGGGUUUAAAGGGUGCGCAGGCGGCCAUUUAAGUCAGCGGUUAAAUCGUGGGGCUCAACCCCAUUCUGCCGUUGAUACUGGGUGGCUUGAUUGCGGUCGAGGUUGGCGGAAUUCGUUGUGUAGCGGUGAAAUGCAUAGAUAUGACGAAGAACACCGAUUGCGUAGGCAGCUGACCAGACCGCAAAUGACGCUCAUGCACGAAAGUGCGGGGAUCGAACAGGAUUAGAUACCCUGGUAGUCCGCACAGUAAACGAUGAAUACUUGUUUUCGGCGAUAUAAUGUCGGAGGCAAAGCGAAAGCGAUAAGUAUUCCACCUGGGGAGUACGCCGGCAACGGUGAAACUCAAAUGAAUUGACGGGG
rnacentral:rRNA from 1 species